rnacentral:lncRNA from 1 species
GUGGUUUACUGGCUGAUUAGACUCCGAUGAACUAUCGAUUGAUUGAGCGAUAGAUUUGAUAGUCGACUUCUCAAUCCUUUCCUGAUUGAUGGAAUCAAUAGUUGCCUCAUAACUACUCUCGAUGAAUUGAGGAAAUGCCAUUCUGGAUUUCUCAAUUCUAAUCAAAUACGGUUAGAAUUCUAGACUUCCUCGUAGUUUACUCAGACUAGCUUAUGUAUGGAUUAAUGAUUGACAUAAGUUAGGUGGCGGAACUCUUUAUUGAUGACUCGUGAUUGACUACUUAGUGUACUCGGAUUACUCUGACGAAUAAGACUCGGAGUAAAGAUCACCUCUUUCCUCAACUUGCCUUAUCUUAUCAUAUGUGACCUUCUCAUCUUAACAUAUAUAGAUGAAACCCAGGAUUAAACACAAGAGGAAACCGUUGGAAUUCAAUAGUCAAUCAAGCUCAGAAGAAUAUUUAAGAAAGUGCUAGAAGAGAAAAGCUGCAUCAGUAGAUGAAUGGUCCACUCUCAGUUAGCUCAGCCUGCACCCCCUUAGAAUAAGAGAAUAGUGAAUUAACAAGAAGUCUACCUUUUUUUUUG